UACCAGCACCCCGAGUGGUCGGGACGUUUAUUGGGCCUAAAGCAUCCGUAGCCGGUUCUACAAGUCUUCCGUUAAAUCCACCUGCUUAACAGAUGGGCUGCGGAAGAUACUAUAGAGCUAGGAGGCGGGAGAGGCAAGCGGUACUCGAUGGGUAGGGGUAAAAUCCGUUGAUCCAUUGAAGACCACCAGUGGCGAAGGCGGCUUGCCAGAACGCGCUCGACGGUGAGGG
rnacentral:rRNA from 1 species